rnacentral:rRNA from 1 species
GUGGGGAAUAUUGGACAAUGGGCGCAAGCCUGAUCCAGCCAUGCCGCGUGAGUGAUGAAGGCCUUAGGGUUGUAACGCUCUUUCAGUGGGGACGAUAAUGACGGUACCCACAGAAGAAGCCCCGGCUAACUUCGUGCCAGCAGCCGCGGUAAUACGAAGGGGGCUAGCGUUGUUCGGAUUUACUGGGCGUAAAGCGCACGUAGGCGGAUCGUUAAGUCGGGGGUGAAAUCCUGGAGCUCAACUCCAGAACUGCCUUUAAUACUGCCAGUCUAGAGUCCAGAAGAGGUGAGUGGAACUCCUAGUGUAGAGGUGGAAUUCGUAGAUAUUAGGAAGAACACCAGUGGCGAAGGCGGCUCACUGGUCUGGUACUGACGCUGAGGUGCGAAAGCGUGGGGAGCAAACAGGAUUAGAAACCCGGGUAGUCC